rnacentral:rRNA from 1 species
UGGGGAAUAUUGGACAAUGGGCGAAAGCCUGAUCCAGCAAUGCCGCGUGUGUGAAGAAGGCCUGAGGGUUGUAAAGCACUUUCGUUGGGGAAGAAGGGAAUACUCUGAAUAGGGGUAUUUUUUGACGGUACCUGAAGAAGAAGCACUGGCUAACUCUGUGCCAGCAGCCGCGGUAAUACAGAGGGUGCAAGCGUUAAUCGGAAUGACUGGGCGUAAAGGGCAUGUAGGUGGCUUUUUAAGUUGACUGUGAAAUUUCUGGGCUUAACCUGGGAGCUGCAGUCAAGACUGGAGGGCUAGAGUCUGGGAGAGGGAAGUGGAAUUUCCGGUGUAGCGGUGAAAUGCGUAGAUAUCGGAAAGAACAUCAAUGGCGAAGGCAGCUUCCUGGCCUGAGACUGACACUGAGGUGCGAAAGCGUGGGGAGCAAACAGG